AUGAACGCUGGCGGCGUGCCUAAUACAUGCAAGUCGAGCGAACGGACGAGAAGCUUGCUUCUCUGAUGUUAGCGGCGGACGGGUGAGUAACACGUGGAUAACCUACCUAUAAGACUGGGAUAACUUCGGGAAACCGUAGCUAAUACCGGAUAAUAUUUUGAACCGCAUGGUUCAAAAGUGAAAGACGGUCUUGCUGUCACUUAUAGAUGGAUCCGCGCUGCAUUAGCUAGUUGGUAAGGUAACGGCUUACCAAGGCAACGAUGCAUAGCCGACCUGAGAGGGUGAUCGGCCACACUGGAACUGAGACACGGUCCAGACUCCUACGGGAGGCAGCAGUAGGGAAUCUUCCGCAAUGGGCGAAAGCCUGACGGAGCAACGCCGCGUGAGUGAUGAAGGUCUUCGGAUCGUAAAACUCUGUUAUUAGGGAAGAACAUAUGUGUAAGUAACUGUGCACAUCUCGACGGUACCUAAUCAGAAAGCCACGGCUAACUACGUG
rnacentral:rRNA from 1 species